rnacentral:rRNA from 1 species
AUGCUCGGGCGGACGGGUGAGUAACACGUGGGUAACCUGCCUGUAAGACUGGGAUAACUCCCCCCAAACGGGGCUAAUACCGGAUGGUUGUUUGAACCGCAUGGUUCAAACAUAAAAGGUGGCUUCGGCUACCACUUACAGAUGGACCCGCGGCGCAUUAGCUAGUUGGUGAGGUAACGGCUCACCAAGGCAACGAUGCGUAGCCGAAUGCAGAGGGUGAUCGGCCACACUGGGACUGAGACACGGCCCAGACUCCUACGGGAGGCAGCAGUAGGGAAUCUUCCGCAAUGGACGAAAGUCUGACGGAGCAAAUGCCCAUCAGUGAUGAAGGUUUUCGGAUCGUAAAGCUCUGUUGUUAGGGAAGAACAAGUACCGUUCGAAUAGGGCGGUACCUUGACGGUACCUAACCAGAAAGCCACGGCUAACUACGUGCCAGCAGCCGCGGUAAUACGUAGGUGGCAAGCGUUGCCCGGAAUUAUUGGGCGUAAAGGGCUCGCAGGCGGUU